rnacentral:rRNA from 1 species
UACAGAGGUCUCACGCGUUGUUCGGAUUCAUUGGGCGUAAAGGGUGUGUAGGUGGCGCGCUAAGUCGGGUGUGAAAUUUCGGAGCUUAACUCCGAAACUGCAUUCGAUACUGGCGUGCUUGAGGACUGGAGAGGAGACUGGAAUUCAUGGUGUAGCAGUGAAAUGCGUAGAGAUCAUGAGGAAGACCAGUGGCGAAGGCGGGUCUCUGGACAGUUCCUGACACUGAGGCACGAAGGCUAGGGGAGCAAACGGG